AGUGAACGCUGGCGGCGUGCCUAAUACAUGCAAGUCGAACGGAGUGGCGUACGGGAGGGUAAUAUAUAGCUAAUCUGCCCCUUGCUGGAGGACAACAGUUAGACAUGACUGCUAAUACUCCAUAGCAAGGGAUGAGACUUUAUCGUAUCAGCUAGUCGGUGGGGUAACGGCCUACCGCGGCUAUGACGAGUAACUGGUCUGAGAGUAUGAUCAGUAACAUUGGAACUGAGACACGGUCCAAACUCCUACGGGAGGCGGCAGGAGGGAAUAGUGCGCAAUGGGGGAAACCCUGACGCGGCAACGCCGCGUGGAGGAUGACACUUUUCGGAGCGUAAACUCAUUUUGUUAGCGAAGCGUUACCUAACGAAUAAGCACCGGCUAACACCGUGCCAGCGGCCGCGGUAAUAC
rnacentral:rRNA from 1 species